rnacentral:rRNA from 1 species
GUUGCCUACGGGGCGCAGCAGUGGGGGAUAUUGCACAAUGGGGGGAACCCUGAUGCAGCGACGCCGCGUGGGUGAAGGAGCGUUUCGGCGCGUAAAGCCCUAUCGGCAGGGAAGAAGGAGGACGGUACCUGACUAAGAAGCCCCGGCUAACUACGUGCCAGCAGCCGCGGGAAUAAGGAGGGGGCAAGUGUUAUCCGGAUUUACUGGGUGUAAAGGGGGCGCAGACGGAAGCGCAA